UUUGUUCAUGGCAGGGCUGCAUAUAUCUUGGCCAUUUAUGUAUGUCUAAAUCUCCAAUGUUUUACAUAUAUAGUACUUAGUUUUGUUUUUCCUUAUAUUGCUUGUCUUGUUUUAUAUUGUAUUCCCAGUCCAUGUACAGUCCUGUCCUGCCCCUGUUCUGUUAAUGUUUCCCUUAUGUAGUGUGUACAUGUUCUGCUUUCUAUCCUUCUCUGGUUCUG